ensembl:lncRNA novel transcript, antisense to CBLN1
GGGCUCUCGCCGUGAGUCGACGAAGGGAGCGCGGGCGCGCGCCCGCGUCCGCGCACUGAGAGUCGCCUCGGCCGCUCGCUUUCUCGACUCCCGCCUCGCGCCUCGAUCCUGUUCCGCCUCCCUCGGCCCUCCUGCCCGCCCCCACUCGUCGGCCCUCAGCCCUGCUUCUUUAGAAUUGACAGUCUGGCUUCGUGGUUAAUUCACAGCAUCUGAGGAAUACAUCCAAAGAGGGUGAUACUGUGGCAUGAUGGUACCAGGAUUCCAAGUUCAUUCCAGAUCAUUGGGUAGAGACUAGAAAUGUACCGAGCAGUGCGCAAAGAAGAUGAGGAGGGUUCUACAGUUUCUCCAGAUACAUACCAUGACAAUUUGUUUUUUUAAAAAAGAAGAAAGCCUGCAGGAGAUUGUGGGGACAGCAGAAUGUGACUUCCAAGGCUAGGUCCUGAAAGAUGCUGUGACUUUCGCCUGAGUCUCUUGGAUCACUCGCUCUGGGGGAGGACUGCUGUCAUGUCAUGAGGACACUCAGGCAUCCCCAUGGAAAAGUCUGCAUGGCGGCAUGAAGCAAGUCCUUGCUGAAGGUCCAGGGCAUGGCAAGAGAACCUGAGUUUAAGAAGCAGACAUCACCUGCUGGCAGCAGGCAGUAUCCUCUCAGUCAGCCUUGAUGUCCCCUUCCCUGGAUCCUCACUUCUCAUGGCAAUCUCCCCGUCUCCUCAGGAAAAAAUCUACAACUUUCAUCAAAUUACUCAGGGAGACUUUAUUCUAAAGAGACUGAAAACGACCAACAUCAAUUUUGACUCCUAUGGGCAUCUGUAAAUAGCUUCAAGGUUUUAAGGUGAAAUGUCAUGUACCAAAAUACACAUUCUGGAGAAGCAGGAAGCUACAGACCAACUUGAGAUGAAAGUCUCAUAUCAAUGUUUUCCCAAGUGUGCUCCUUGGAAUACAGGUUGACAUGAUAUGAUGCCCAGCAAGGGAAACAAAACAUAUUCAUGUUCAAAUUAGUUGGGGAAAUGCUGGACUAAAUAAGGUUUGAUGGGAUUCUUUUUUCUGCAGGACUUCUCAGAAGGGGCUAGAGUAGGCAAAGUUUCCCAGAUUUACCUAAUAAAAGCAUUGUUUCUGUGGGAGUUUCAUUUGUUAUUACAUGUUUCCUGAAUGCAGAUUCAUAGACUAUCCUUUGGGGAACCCUCGUCCUCACGGGAUGUAUGUUCAUGGUGGUGUCUUCGAGUUUGUGCCCUUGUGAAGCAUUCUGGCAGCAAGCAUCUGAACACUUCCAAAAGGGGGCGAUAUUUAGGAGAAAUCGCUCAGCCUGAGUUAGAACAAAUGCAGCUGCUGGUGUCUCUUGGUGCCUGGGAGCCCUAGAGUGUCAGAGGGAGGAGCGUGCACACUGGAACCAGCAGCCUGGUGCUGCGUCUCAGCUCUGUCGCUAACUGGCUAUGCACCUCUGGGCAUGGCACUUAACCCUUCUGAGCCCCAGCCCGCCAUCUGUAAAAAGGGCUUGAUGUGAGGAUUGAAUGAGAUCAUGCAGGGAACACAAUGUCUGGCACUUGGAAGCGUCCACCAUAAAGAGCCAAGGCAGUAGAUGGCCCAGCUGGGUUUGGUCCAGGCAGAGUUUACCCUCUGCCCUGGAGGCUCCAGGAAAUGCUGCCACGUGGCUCCUAUUGCCUUAACCACAUCCGACCUGUUCCUGACAGCUCCCCACAUCUCCAGCUCCUUUGCUGGUGCUCCAGGCACCUCCAAACGUGGCGAGCCCCUCUCCCCUGCCCUCUUGUGGCAGCUGACCUGGCAGGAGUGGGACCAAGACAUCCAAGGCAGCUCCUUUCCACCUGCAUGGGCACUUUCCUCAGGACAUCCUUGCCCCUGGCACCACCUUGGGCCAGCAAGCCACAUGGAAAUGGAUGCAGAGGCACCACUGUUUGCUGACAAUUAUACACUGUCCUUAAGGUCACCCUUGGCGAUCUGUCACCAGGAGCAGACAAACCCACACCUCAACCAUCCCAUCAGAGCUUGUUUCUAUCUGCAUCUGUCAUCGCUGAUC